UCAUUGAUGUACCCAAGUUUUAUUUACUAGUUUUAGAAACUCAUACACCUAUUAGGAUGUUUCUAUGAACUGAACUGAUGCAGUUAAUAGAAUCAUCCUGUGAUCAAAUUUACUUGAAUUACUUUUCUUUUUCUUUUUUUGUAGUAUGUGCACUGCUGAUGAUUGUAUUUAUGUCAACUGAUAUUUAUUAAGUUUUAGACACUUUUAAAUUCUGAUUUAAUUUUUUUUUUUUAAUUAUUAUAUAUUAAUUUUAUAUUCACGCUUGUUAUUGCACCCUUUUGUGAUGGUUUUGUGAAUUACACCACUGCAAAUUGAGCCUGAGCUUAAAUGCACUACACUUCUGUAAGAGGGUGAGGGCAGAAAAACAUAUUUCACAUUGCAACAUGAACAGCCAGAAAGAGCUAUUUACACUAUCUUUUUUCUGUUAAAAUAUAUUUGCAAAUAAAUCAGCUGGUGUGUGUUGAGCGCACUGACGCCAUUGUACUGUGGCUGCCGUCGCAUCAUCCAAGUGGAUGCUGCACACUGGUGGUGGAUGAGUAGAGACCCCUGAUAUGAUUGUGGGUGUACCGUAGUACAUAUGAAGGAGCUAUAUAAAUGUCUCAUUCAUUCAUGGGUUACACACUCCUGUGAUGAUUUUUGUGAAUUUCACCAAAAAAAUCAAAUCUAAUGAACUUAAAUGUACUAUACUUUUGCAAGAGGGUGAGAGCAGAAGAGUGUUCUCAUAGCGCUACGCAACAUGAACAGCCAAUCAGAUCUGUUUACACUAUCGAUGUUCUGUGCUCACUUCUGUUAAAAUAAAUUGAUUUGCAAAAAGUUACACCGCUGCAAAUCGAGUUUAAUGAACAUAAAAGAGUUUCGCCCUCCUGUGGUGAUUUAUGUGAAUUACAGCACUGCCAAUCAAGUCUAAUGGUCACUGCAUCUGUGGGAUGUUUCUGUUGCUGCUUCAUGAUUAAAAGUCUCAAAUGUGAUCUCGCCACUAUAACAAUUAGAAUGGUAGAAGGUAAAGUGCAGUUUCCAUCCGCUCCACUAGGUGGCAGAAGCAGGUUUCAGCUUCAGUCUGACACUUCGGCUGCUUGACAACAUGACGCUUGAUGAUCCUGCAGAUGAGAUGACAGCUCUUAAUGUCACUUUAACAGCAAAUAUUCCAGCUUAACUGCAAAUAAAAUCGACACACAGAUGGAUACAAUGCGGGAAUCGAGUGUCACGUGACUCACCUAUUGUUUCGUCAGCAGUGGGCGGAACUUACAAGCAGUAAUCCAAUUGGCUGAAAAUGUGAUUAAUAUCCGACAGCCUGUUACCAAUUUGCAAUCCACCUGAGGACCAGCGUGAGCACAAGGAGAAGUCUUCUUUGAAAAUUAGGAUCUCUGGGUCAGAACUGCUGGAGGUCAUGAGGAGGUGGCAGGAGAAGCAGUCUCUUGAACUGCUGAACCCUUAUUCCACUGACCUUUUUUCUGGAGUCAAUUGGAGCGCACUCCGUUUGCUUCCAUAAUGUGCCUUCGACAAGAACUCUUGGACGUGUCUGAUAACGGUACCAGCUCAUACCCUUUCUCUGGGAUAAAGGUUAUGACAGGCCAUUUCUGUUUGAAUGCAUGUUUGAAAAUGGAGUUAAUUACAAACUGGAGUGAUCAGUUUGUGUGCACAAUAAAAGGCUACAUGUGA